AGCUCCAAUAGCGUAUAUUAAAGUUGUUGCAGUUAAAAAGCUCGUAGUUGGAUUUCUGUUAAAAGCAAGUAGCCCGCUCUUUGAGUGUUGUGCUUACGUCGUUUUUGACAUUUUUCUGUUUUUCGGUUAGUGCUCUUUAUUGGGCACUUAAUUCAUGAACAGGACUUUUACUUUGAGAAAAUUAGAGUGUUCUAAGCAGGCUAUUGCCUUGAAUACUGCAGCAUGGAAUAAUAAUAUAGGAUUUCAAUUCUAUUUUAUUGGUUCUAAGGAUUGAAAUAAUGAUUAAUAGGGACAGUUGGGGGCAUUCGUAUUUAACUGUCAGAGGUGAAAUUCUUAGAUUUGUUAAAGACGAACUACUGCGAAAGCAUUUGCCAAGGAUGUUUUCA
rnacentral:rRNA from 1 species